AUUGAACGCUGGCGGCGUGCUUUACACAUGCAAGUCGGACGAGUGGCGAACGGGUGAGUAACGCAUCGGAACGUACCGGAUAAGGGGGGAUAACUGUUCGAAAGGACAGCUAAUACCGCAUACUAUCCGAUCGGCCGAGGUCCGAUUAGCUGGUUGGCGGGGUAAAGGCGCACCAAGGCGACGAUCAGUAGCUGGUCUGAGAGGAUGAUCCGCCACACUGGGACUGAGACACGGCCCAGACUCCUACGGGAGGCAGCAGUGGGGAAUUUUGGACAAUGGGCGCAAGCCUGAUCCAGCCAUGCCGCGUGUCUGAAGAAGGCCUUCGGGUUGUAAAGGACUUUUGGCAGGGAAGCGGUACCUGAAGAAUAAGCACCGGCUAACUACGUGCCAGCAGCCGCGGUAAUUC
rnacentral:rRNA from 1 species